GCGGGUUUAGCUCAGUUGGGAGAGCGUCAGACUGAAGUUAAACUUCAUUCCAUGGGUAUCUGAAGGUCGUGUGUUCGAUCCACACAAACCGCA
rnacentral:tRNA from 1 species